rnacentral:rRNA from 1 species
GUGCCAGCAGCCGCGGUAAUACGUAUGUCCCUAGCGUUACCCGGAAUUACUGGGUGUAAAGGGUUUGUAGGCGGCUUAGAAAGUUGGAUAUUAAAGACCGAGGCUCAACCUCGUGUUUGUGUUCAAAACUCCUAGGCUAGAAUUAGGGAGAGGUUAGCGGAAUUCUGAGUGUAGGGGUGCAAUCCGUAGAUACUCAGAGGAACACCAAAAGCGAAGGCAGCUAACUGGAACUAUAUUGACGCUGAGGAACGAAAGCGUGGGGAGCGAAAAGGAUUAGAUACCCUUGUAGUCCACGCCCUAGACGGUGAUAACUAAGUGUUGCUCCUAGAGGGCAGUGCUGAAGCUAACGCGAUAAGUUAUCCACCUGAGAAGUACGGUCGCAAGAUUAAAACUCAAAGGAAUAGACGGGGACCCACACAAGCAGUGGAUCACGUGGUUUAAUUCGACAAUAAACGGGGAACCUUACCCAGGCUUGACAUCUACCGAAUCCACCAGAGAUGGAGGAGUGCUUUUAUUAGAGCGGUAAGACAGGUGCUGCAUGGUUGUCGUCAGCUCGUGCCUUGAGGUGUUCGGUUAAGUCCGUUAACGAGCGCAACCCAUGUCGUUAGUUAUUAUGUCUAACGAGACUGCCUUGGUUAACAAGGAGGAAGGUGUGGAUGACGUCAAAUCAGCAUGGCUUUUACGCCUGGGGCUACACACAUGAUACAAUGGUACGUACAAAGAGCAGCAAUAUGGUAACAUGGAGCUAAUCUUCAAAGCGUAUCUCAGUCCGGAUUGAGGUCUGCAACUCGACCUCAUGAAGUUGGAAUUGCUAGUAAUCGUGAAUCAGAUAUGUCACGGUGAAUAUGUUCCUGGGUCUUGUA